rnacentral:rRNA from 1 species
AUUGAACGCUGGCGGCAGGCCUAACACAUGCAAGUCGAGCGGAAACGAGUUAUUUGAACCUUCGGGGAACGAUAACGGCGUCGAGCGGCGGACGGGUGAGUAAUGCCUAGGAAAUUGCCCUGAUGUGGGGGAUAACCAUUGGAAACGAUGGCUAAUACCGCAUGAUGCCUACGGGCCAAAGAGGGGGACCUUCGGGCCUCUCGCGUCAGGAUAUGCCUAGGUGGGAUUAGCUAGUUGGUGAGGUAAGGGCUCACCAAGGCGACGAUCCCUAGCUGGUCUGAGAGGAUGAUCAGCCACACUGGAACUGAGACACGGUCCAGACUCCUACGGGAGGCAGCAGUGGGGAAUAUUGCACAAUGGGCGCAAGCCUGAUGCAGCCAUGCCGCGUGUGUGAAGAAGGCCUUCGGGUUGUAAAGCACUUUCAGUCGUGAGGAAGGUAGUGUAGUUAAUAGCUGCAUUAUUUGACGUUAGCGACAGAAGAAGCACCGGCUAACUCCGUGCCAGCAGCCGCGGUAAUACGGAGGGUGCGAGCGUUAAUCGGAAUUACUGGGCGUAAAGCGCAUGCAGGUGGUUUGUUAAGUCAGAUGUGAAAGCCCGGGGCUCAACCUCGGAAUAGCAUUUGAAACUGGCAGACUAGAGUACUGUAGAGGGGGGUAGAAUUUCAGGUGUAGCGGUGAAAUGCGUAGAGAUCUGAAGGAAUACCGGUGGCGAAGGCGGCCCCCUGGACAGAUACUGACACUCAGAUGCGAAAGCGUGGGGAGCAAACAGGAUUAGAUACCCUGGUAGUCCACGCCGUAAACGAUGUCUACUUGGAGGUUGUGGCCUUGAGCCGUGGCUUUCGGAGCUAACGCGUUAAGUAGACCGCCUGGGGAGUACGGUCGCAAGAUUAAAACUCAAAUGAAUUGACGGGGGCCCGCACAAGCGGUGGAGCAUGUGGUUUAAUUCGAUGCAACGCGAAGAACCUUACCUACUCUUGACAUCCAGAGAACUUUCCAGAGAUGGAUUGGUGCCUUCGGGAACUCUGAGACAGGUGCUGCAUGGCUGUCGUCAGCUCGUGUUGUGAAAUGUUGGGUUAAGUCCCGCAACGAGCGCAACCCUUAUCCUUGUUUGCCAGCGAGUAAUGUCGGGAACUCCAGGGAGACUGCCGGUGAUAAACCGGAGGAAGGUGGGGACGACGUCAAGUCAUCAUGGCCCUUACGAGUAGGGCUACACACGUGCUACAAUGGCGCAUACAGAGGGCGGCCAACUUGCGAAAGUGAGCGAAUCCCAAAAAGUGCGUCGUAGUCCGGAUUGGAGUCUGCAACUCGACUCCAUGAAGUCGGAAUCGCUAGUAAUCGUGGAUCAGAAUGCCACGGUGAAUACGUUCCCGGGCCUUGUACACACCGCCCGUCACACCAUGGGAGUGGGCUGCAAAAGAAGUAGGUAGUUUAACCUUCGGGGGGACGCUUACCACUUUGUGGUUCAUGACUGG